rnacentral:misc_RNA from 1 species
GGUGAAGAACGUAGCGAAAUGCGAUAAGUAGUGUGAAUUGCAGAAUUCAGUGAAUCAUCGAAUCUUUGAACGCACAUUGCGCCUCCUGGUAUUCCUGGAGGCAUGCCUGUUCGAGCGUCAUUAAAAUCACUCAAGCUUAGGUUUACCUAUUGCUUGGUCUUGGAGAUGGAAGCCAAUUUAUUGGAAUCCUCUUCGAAAUUCAAUGGCGAAGACCCUUGCUCUCCCAAGUGUAGUAAUAACUUAUGUCACUGAAGGAAGCGAGAAAUCUUCUGCCGUAACCCCCAUAUUUUCUAUGAUUGACCUCGGAUCAGGUAGGGAUACCCGCUGAACUUAAGCAUAUCAAUAAGCGGAGGA